UGAAAAUAAUGGCAGAAUUUCGGAGAGAAGGUGGGAAAAUAAAUUCUCUUCUCCAUGCAUAGUUGCAUUGCAUGCACUACUACUCGUCUUUAUUUCUCGUUUUGAUUACUCAAGAACCUUCAAUCUUCUGCUUCAUACAACAAACAUUCAAUUUUGUAAAUAAAAAUUUGAAUCACUGCGAGAUGGAACUUUUUUCAUAAUCUGAACCCCCAAAUCAGACGGUAGGAAUCAAUGGAUGAUUAUACCUUGUAUGCAAUUUUAAUGUGAAUUCUUAUUCUAAUAGUAUCUUUUGUGCUUUGAUGACCCUACUCCCUAAAUGCUAUUUUGCAUAUGCCUUUGCUGGAUUAGCUUACUGAUAAGGGUUUCUGGAUAGAAACUAGUGGCAACAAUAACAGAUUUUGGGAACUUUAUCAAGUAGAGAAUCCCAGGUAUCAAGGUUGAUUUGUUUUGGAAUAAUGCAUGUAUUUGCAAUUGUGUGCUAGCAUAUCCUCAAGAACUUUGAACAUGCUGCCAAAUUUAUUUGCAGUAGGAUUUCGAAUGCUGUAAACAAUUCAGUUGUUGUCCAUUGUCAAAUUAACCAUUAAUAACUUGGUCGGGAUUUAAAGGUGAUUGCUUUGUUAUAAUGACUGUACUGAUGUGUUUUUUUUAUGCAAUAACACUUUCUGCCAAUUAUCUCAAGCGCCGGCAAAUUCAUGAUGCUGUUAUACAACUGCAGUUCUGUAAUUAGUUGGAACAAGAGUACCUCUAUGACUUAUGUGAUGUAUUUGGGAGAUUGGUGCUUAAUGCAGUUUAUUUUGGUUGCCUGAAACUUAUUCAGCCUGUAAGCUAUAGUUGGUUAGCAACUAACUAAAGGCUAAUUGAGUUUAGCUAUGUUUCAUCCUUUAAUAUUUUCCCACAGUUUGUGCUGAAGUCUAGAUCUUAUGCUUAUUCACUAAAUAAUAGACAUCAUUAGUUAUUCAAUAGAAAACACAACAUUGGAUGCUUUUGAGUCAAAAGUUACUUAUUUUAAAGCAUUGAUCAUGAAGAGUUAAAGGUUUCUGUGAAUGAUCAACAUGUUAUCGAGAUUACAUGUUUUGGUUUUGUGUAUCAACGAUUUUUUAUGUCCUAUAAGUAUUAACAAUUUAUAUAUGCCUGCAAAAA